rnacentral:rRNA from 1 species
GAUCCUGGCUCAGGAUGAACGCUGGCGGCGUGCUUAACACAUGCAAGUCGAACGAGGCACCUUGCAGAAGUUUCGGAUGGAAGCGGAGGCGACCGAGUGGCGGACGGGUGAGUAACGCGUGGGGAACCUGCCCCAUUCCGGGGGAUACCAGUUGGAAACGACUGUUAAUACCGCAUAAGCGCACGGAAGGACAUCCUUUUGUGUGAAAAAACUGAGGUGGAAUGGGAUGGCCCCGCGUCUGAUUAGCCAGUUGGCAGGGUAACGGCCUACCAAAGCGACGAUCAGUAGCCGGCCUGAGAGGGCGACCGGCCACAUUGGGACUGAGACACGGCCCAAACUCCUACGGGAGGCAGCAGUGGGGAAUAUUGCACAAUGGGGGAAACCCUGAUGCAGCCGACGCCGCGUGAGUGAAGAAGUAUUUCGGUAUGUAAAGCUCUAUCAGCAGGGAAGAAGAUGACGGUACCUGCACAAGAAGCCCCGGCUAACUACGUGCCAGCCGCCGC